GGACGAACGCGUGGCGGCAUGCUAACACAUGCAAGUGGAGCGACGAACCCUUACGGGGCAAAGCCGCGAACGGGUGAGUAACACGUGGGCAAUCUGCCCCGAUGACCGGAAUAACUCUAGGAAACCAGAGCUAAUACCGGAUGUGCCUCCCACCAUCAGGUGGACAGGUAAAGAGAGCUUCGGCUAUUCGCAUCGGGAGGAGCCCGCGGAGCAUUAGGUAGUUGGUGGGGUAAAGGCCUACCAAGCCGACGAUGCUUAGCUGGUCUGAGAGGACGAUCAGCCACACUGGAACUGAGACACGGUCCAGACUCCUACGGGAGGCAGCAGUGGGGAAUCUUGCACAAUGGGCGACAGCCUGAUGCAGCAAUGCCGCGUGAGGGAAGACGGCCUUCGGGUUGUAAACCUCUUUCAGUUGGGAUGAAGGUUGGACGGUGAAUAGCCGGCUCAACUGACCGUACCUUCAGAAGAAGCCCCGGCUAACUACGUGCCAGCAGCCGC
rnacentral:rRNA from 1 species